rnacentral:lncRNA from 1 species
UGCCCAAGACAUUAAAGUGACAUCUCUGAUGGGUAGGUGAAAUAGUAGACUGCAAUAUCAGAGAAAGUAUGACUUGUCACAUCAGCAGUCUACCUCUGUCAACUCGAGAUCUGUGAAGACAUUUGAAUAGCUUUCAAUGGCUACUUUCCAACAGAAGGAUUGGGAAGGAGUAUAAAUCUGCUAGAGCUUCACAGAUCGAAGGUUACUGGAGUUGCUGAGUUUGCAGUAAUGGUGGACUGUUCUAAACCAUGUAAAAUAGUGAGUCCGAAGGCUCACUCUACGAUCCACCAAGAACACUCAGAG